AUUGAACGCUGGCGGCAGGCCUAACACAUGCAAGUCGAACGAGUGGCGGACGGGUGAAUAAUGUCUGGAAAACUGCCUGAUGGAGGGGGAUAACUACUGAAAACGGUAGCUAAAACCGCAUACCAUCGGAUGUGCCCAUAUGGGAUUAUCUAGUAGGUGGGGUAAAGGCUCACCUAGGCGACGAUCCCUAGCUGGUCGGCCAGGAUGAACAGCUACACUGGAACUGAGACACGGUCCAGACUCCUACGGGAGGCAGCAGUGGGGAAUAUUGCACAAUGGGCGCAAGCCUGAUGCAGCCAUGCCGCGUGUAUGAAGAAGGCCUUCGGGUUGUAAAGUACUUUCAGCGGGGAGGCGUUACCCGAAGAAGAAGCACCGGCUAACUCCGUGCCAGCAGCCGCGGUAAUUC
rnacentral:rRNA from 1 species